rnacentral:rRNA from 1 species
GAUGAACGCUAGCGGGAGGCUUAACACAUGCAAGUCGAGGGGCAGCAUAGGGUAGCAAUACUCUGAUGGCGACCGGCAAACGGGUGAGUAACGCGUAUGCAACCUACCCUGUACAGGGGGAUAACCCGGAGAAAUUCGGACUAAUAUCCCGUAAUAAUAUCCGGAGGCAUCUUUGGAUAUUUAAAGUUCCGACGGUACGGGAUGGGCAUGCGUAACAUUAACUGGUUGGUAAGGUAACGGCUUGCCAAGGCUAUGAUGUUUAGGGGUCCUGAGAGGGUGGUCCCCCACACUGGUACUGAGACACGGACCAGACUCCUACGGGAGGCAGCAGUGAGGAAUAUUGGUCAAUGGGCGCAAGCCUGAACCAGCCAUCCCGCGUGCAGGAAGACGGCCCUAUGGGUUGUAAACUGCUUUUCCAGGGAGAGAAACUUACGCACGUGUUGCGUGACUGACGGUACCCUGGGAAUAAGCAUCGGCUAACUCCGUG